GAGUAACUGAAACUAUGGAAAGUGAAACCGCAGAUAAGACAGGGCUACUAUGUCUCCAUUUCUUUGGGAUCAGCUACUCAAGCUGCCAUGCUGUUGGUAGCAUUUUAAAAAGACAAGCAUGGCGAAGAAAGGAUAUCUCUGCCAAGCAGCCAGGAACAUCCUGAGGCCUGUCAGCAGCCCUUUCCGUGAAACUGGAAAUGGAUCUUCCCCUUGUGAUGACUACAGUCCCAACUGAGAGCUUGACUGCAACCUCAUGAGCAGCCCUGAGCCAGAGACACUGAGCUAAUUUCUGCCUGAAUUCCUGAUUCAUGGAAAUUAUGGGCUAAUAAAUAUAUCUCAUUUUAAGCUACUAACUUCUGAGGUGAUUUGUUAUACAGAAUAUAUAUAUAUAUAUAUAUAUAUAUAUAUAUAUAGAGAGAGAGAGAGAGAGAGAGAGAGAUCAAAUCCAAGAUCAUUUUUCCCCCAAAUUUCACAUUUUCUCAGUAUUUAUUCAGUGGAUUAUGCCCCUGGUGUUCUAUCUACAGAUUCAUUGCUAAAUCCAAGAGAUAAUAUAUAUAUACACACACACACACACACACAUAUAUAUAUAUACACACACAUAUAUAUAUAUAGAGAGAGAGUAACAGAUAUUCUGGCAUUCUUCAGAAACUGUAUGAAAAACUAGAGAGAGGCAGAGAGUGAGAGUAAGCAAAAGAGAGAGAGAGAGAGAGGAGAGAGGAAAUCAAGAGAGAAAAGUAAGCUAAAUAGGUACUUCUCAUCUACGAACUAAAUUUUCAAAAAAUGUCCUGAAGGAGUAGAAUCAGAUAACACUUGUAAUACUCUAAAAAAGGUGCCGUGUUUUUUGGAGACAACCAAUAGACCUUUUUAUUUCAAAUUUUCUUACUACAGGUUCGUAGAAGCCAAUGAAAAAUACAGAAACAUAGUAAUUGUGUAAUUCACAAUAUCUGUAAUAUUUUUUACAAGUUACUUACAGUGAGAGAUAAAUCAAUUUUUUUCCAUGCAGAGUCUUUGAAGCCAUUUAUCAUUUGCCUUUAGUUUCUCCAUCAUACAAUCACCACAGUUUGGAAUAAAAUUAUAAACAACUGAAUAUAUUUGUUAAAUAAAACGACAACUACAAACAUUCCUAAGAUUUAUUAUUUCCUAAUUCAUUUUUCUUCUUUUUAAAAAGUGG
rnacentral:lncRNA from 1 species